rnacentral:rRNA from 1 species
CCCUUAGAUGUUCUGGGCCGCACGCGUGCUACACUGAGUAAAUCAAUGGGUAAGGGAACACGAAAGUGCAACCUAAUCUUCAAAUUUGCUCGUGAUGGGGAUCGACGGUUGCAAUUUUCCGUCGUGAACGAGGAAUACCUUGUAGGCGCGUGUCAUCAUCACGCGCCGAAUACGUCCCUGCCCUUUGUACACACCGCCCGUCGCUCCUACCGAUUGGGUGUGCUGGUGAAAUGUUCGGAUCGGCCGUUUGUCGCGGUUUCCGCGGCUCGUGGCUGAGAAGUUCAUUAAACCCUCCCACCUAGAGGAAGGAGAAGUCGUAACA